GACGAACGCUGGCGGCGUGCUUAACACAUGCAAGUCGAACGGAAAGGCCCUGCUUUUGUGGGGUGCUCGAGUGGCGAACGGGUGAGUAACACGUGAGUAACCUGCCCUUGACUUUGGGAUAACUUCAGGAAACUGGGGCUAAUACCGGAUAGGAGCUCCUGCUGCAUGGUGGGGGUUGGAAAGUCUCGGCGGUUGGGGAUGGACUCGCGGCUUAUCAGCUUGUUGGUGGGGUAGUGGCUUACCAAGGCUUUGACGGGUAGCCGGCCUGAGAGGGUGACCGGCCACAUUGGGACUGAGAUACGGCCCAGACUCCUACGGGAGGCAGCAGUGGGGAAUAUUGCACAAUGGGCGGGAGCCUGAUGCGGCAACGCCGCGUGCGGGAUGACGGCCUUCGGGUUGUAAACCGCUUUCGCCUGUGACGAAGCGUGAGUGACGGUAAUGGGUAAAGAAGCACCGGCUAACUACGUG
rnacentral:rRNA from 1 species